UUGUGACCUUCUGUGUGCAUGUAGUGAGCUUGUGUUUGGUGAUCCUGUGUGCUAGUGACCUUCUGUGUGCUAGAAGGUCACUAGCACACAGGAUCGCUAAACACAAGCACACAACAUGCACACAGAAGCAU